GAUGAAAACGCAGCGAAAUGCGAUACUUGGUGUGAAUUGCAGAAUCCCGUGAACCAUCGAGUCUUUGAACGCAAGUUGCGCCCGAAGCCAUCAGGUUGAGGGCACGUCUGCCUGGGCGUCACAUAUCGUUGCCCAAUGCCUAUUGCAGUGCAAUAGGAAUUUCUAGGGCGAAUGAUGGCUUCCCGUGAGCGUUGUUGCCUCGCGGUUGGUUGAAAAUCGAGUCCUUGGUAGGGUGUGCCAUGGUAGAUGGUGGUCGAGUUAGAACGAUACCGAUCAUGUGCAUGCUCCCCAAAAUAUGGCCUCUAUGACCCACACGCGUCUUUUGACGCUCAUGACGAGACCUCAGGUCAGGCGGGGCUACCCGCUGAAUUUAAGCAUAUCAAUAAGCGGAGGA
rnacentral:misc_RNA from 1 species